GCCUCAUCCCUUCCUAGGAGAACGUAUCCUGUGCACCGGAUGAAUUGGUGCAACGAAUGCGCCGACUGAUUCUGAGCCACUGGAUGAAGAACAGACGGGUUGGAUCUUAGUAUAAGGUGGCAGCCGGUACAUUUCACACAAUGGACCUUGUAAAGUCAUUCAACUACACAAGCAGUCCUUCCAAGAUCCCAUCGUCUUCUUCCCUUCGCUCUUCUCCCUUCUGUACCUGUACACCGAGGAUUUGCAAGCUAGGGUUAGCGAUUUGCUUCAUCGCCUCUCUCUCCUCCACCUCCCCCUCUGCUGGGCCACUCUGACCUUCUCCCUACUGUAUUUUGUACCUAAUUCCAGCUCUGUACAAGCGCCCCCUCUCCCCUGAAACGACCGCGCCACCGACGAGCGCUUACAUGUAGCGCCGCCAUGCUGUAGGUCUGGGCAACAUUGACCCAGCCAUCGCAAAGCCGGCCAUCUUCUGCAGCUUAAAGUAUCCAGGGAAUGAAGAGCAGACAUUAAGGUCAAGAUCUGGAACAAGAAUAUAUUUUGUAAUGGCAGCAAGUACUGUCUGGAUGUUCAGCUGCAAGCUCAUUUAUAGUUACUUUGUCUCUUCUAGCCAGCCAAGAUAUCUCUGUCAGAUGAUGAGGGGAGCUGCUAAUUCAGGAUAUAUUGGCAUCUGAAACGUAAUGUAUCUCUUGUAGUAAAGUUAUUGACAACAGAACAUGGUGGACCUUCUGUUCAAGAGUUGUGUAGAACAAGCUAUCCUUAUGAAAUAUGUGCGUCAUAUAUAUGUACACAAUGAGUGAAUCCGACUGUGUAUACGACAGUGGUGUACAAGAAAUUUAAAUAUGGUACUGUCAAGUUUUCUA